UCUCCUAAUUAUGAUGUGUGAAAAGCUUUGAACUCACUCUUGCUUGAUAAGGAGCAGCUGAAAACCGAAACUUUGGAUAACAUUUGAGAAACUUCAACAUGAAUGCAUAUUGUUCUACAAAUCAUCAGAUUUGCCAUCCUAACUUUUUGUUGAACAAUAUCAAUUUAGUCUUUAUAAAUGAUAGUAACUUGAUGGAAACACAUAGCUAGUGCUUACACUUGCCAUAAAUCCCACGCUCCUUAUUGCCAAUGGAGGGGCUGUAGUACUGAAUCAGCCGGAUAGUCUUCACUCUUCAGUGGCAGAAGUCACCAUGGAGAUAUCGUUGCAGAGUUCUGCCAUCAAACAUAACCACGACAGUCUACUUAAGGGCGGGAAUUGUCGGGAGGGUGGAAUUAGUGAGUUAUAGAUGCAAUGAGUAACCAAGAUCGCCUAUUCCGUGAUUUCAUCUUCUAUCAUAGUUUUCUUUACAAAUUUCAUCUAUGUGUUUCCUAUCUGAGAAUAACCAUAUAUAUCUACUGUUACAUUUACUUUGAACAGUCAAAUCCUGCUCUCUACUAAUAUGAAACUGUUGAAAUUUGUUU